AGAAGAAGGGGGGGUUGAGGCUGUGUUGGUUGGUUUCCUGAAAACAGGGGAGAUUGAGGCUAGAGUGAGGGUCGGAAGCUUGUUGGAAUAGAAGAUGGAGAAAGGGAAGGAGCAUGCAUCUUCCUCUACACCUCCUACCGCACAUCCAGAAAUAAAUCUUCCGUCCCAGGCGAUACCAAUACCAUUUUAUCCGGGUUUGUCAAACUAUAUGCAUAGUUUCCAUCCACCAAUGCCAUAUGCCUGGUUACCACCAUUUGUGGAGCAUCCCGAUGCAAACCCAUCUACAUGGACUAGUCAGG